rnacentral:rRNA from 1 species
CCCAGACAGCCAGGAUGUUGGCUUAGAAGCAGCCAUCAUUUAAAGAAAGCGUAAUAGCUCACUGGUCGAGUCGGCCUGCGCGGAAGAUGUAACGGGGCUAAACCAUGCACCGAAGCUGCGGCAGCGAACGUAUCACCCAAGACAACUUUGCACAGGUGACGAUUGACGGAGCGAAGCGACGUCAAAGCGUUUUACAACGUCGAGUUGGCUUAGGGAUACGUUCGUUGGGUAGGGGAGCGUUCUGUAAGCCGUUGAAGGUGUGUCGUGAGGCAUGCUGGAGGUAUCAGAAGUGCGAAUGCUGACAUAAGUAACGAUAAAGCGGGUGAAAAGCCCGCUCGCCGGAAGACCAA